CGGCAGCGGGAGCGCGGCGGCGGCGGCGGACGGGGCCGGGCAGAGGCUGCCCUCUCGGCUGGGGAAAUCCUUUCCGGAUCCUGUGCACUUAGACGGCGGCAAGAGAGCCUGCACACCCCCCGGGGACAGAGUUUGCCUCCUGAACUACACUUCUCUUAAUGAAGAACAGUAGCUCCGACCUCCAAACCAACUGGGACUGGCGCUUUAAAGUAGCUGCGAACAGUGCUCCGGUGUCUCAACAUGGUCACGUAGGAAUUUGAACCUUUUAAUUUCCAGACACAAGGAAUAACUCCCUCGGAGCACCGGCUUGGUUUAGGUGGUCGAUUGUUGGGUGUUUCGGUCGGAGUUUUUGAUUUUUUUUUUUUUCUAAUAAGGUAGCGAGGGAAGAUGGGGUACUAUUCCCUUGUAGACACAGAACAUAAAGGGGAAGAAAAAGCCUAGCCGGGGCAUAUUUGGCUGUGGGGAACCUGCCCGAGCCGCUCUGCAUCCCCGGCGGGAUAGCGGUCGGGGCUGCGGGCGCUGCCGCCGGCCCGGCCCAGCCCUCACCCCGGCCCUGCGCGGCAGCCAACGGGCGCGUCGCCUGGUGUGACCUUCGGGGAGCACAUUUCAACUGCUAAACACCGAGAAAAGUGCUUCUCUCUCUCGCAGGCGCCAUAUUACCGCCGGGAGCCGGGGCUGGGGCGGGGGGAGGGCGGGUGCGCAGUUAGUCUAGUUUUCCGCAGUUGUUAAUUCAGACUGGACGAGCACUCGAUGGCUCCAUAAAAAGAAAGAAAUAAAGAAAGAAAAAAA